CCUAUGUUCCUGGAUCCUGAGCCUCAUUGCUCUUACCUUUCGUGAGCCUCAACCUCUUUGCCGUCAAAUUGUUGUUGUUUGACGUUCCUGGAUCCUUCUUACGUUCCUGCUUCCUUCCUAUGUUCCUGGAUCCUGAGCCUCAUUGCUCUUACCUUUCGUGAGCCUCAACCUCUUCGCCUCAUUGUUUGACGUUCCUGGAUCCGUC